CAGCGCCGCGGGAAUACGGAGGGAGCUAGCGUUGUUCGGAAUUACUGGGCGUAAAGCGCGCGUAGGCGGUUACUCAAGUCAGAGGUGAAAGCCCGGGGCUCAACCCCGGAACUGCCUUUGAAACUAGGUGACUAGAAUCUUGGAGAGGUCAGUGGAAUUCCGAGUGUAGAGGUGAAAUUCGUAGAUAUUCGGAAGAACACCAGUGGCGAAGGCGACUGACUGGACAAAUAUUGACGCUGAGGUGCGAAAGCGUGGGGAGCAAACAGGAUUAGAUACCCCCGUAGUCCCUGUCUCUUAUACA
rnacentral:rRNA from 1 species